GCCCUUAUAGCUCAGUUGGUAGAGCACCUGAUUUGUAAUCAGGGGGUCGCGAGUUCGAGUCUUGCUGGGGGCA
rnacentral:tRNA from 2 species